rnacentral:rRNA from 1 species
AUUGAACGCUGGCGGCAGGCCUAACACAUGCAAGUCGAACGCGUGGCGGACGGGUGAGUAAUGUCUGGGAAACUGCCUGAUGGAGGGGGAUAACUACUGGCAACGGUAGCUAAUACCGCAUACAAUCAGAUGUGCCCAGAUGGGAUUAGAUAGUUGGUGGGGUAACGGAUCACCAAGGCGACGAUCCCUCGAUGUUCGGAGAGGAUGACGCGCCACACUGGAACUGUGACACGGUCCAGAUCCCUACGGUAGGCAGCAGUGGGGAAUAUUGGACAAUGGGCGCAAGCCUGAUGCACCCAUGCCGCGUGUAUGAAGAAGUCCUUCGGGUUGUAAAGUACUUUCAGCGUGGAGGCGUUACCCGCAGAAGAAGCACCGGCUAACUCCGUGCCAGCCGCCGCGGUAAUAC